AUGCGCCCCGGCCGUAUGCGGAACGACUCUAGCUGGUCCGCCGCUCGGCUCGGGGUGUGGACAGUUGUCGACCGCGCCGGCGGCCAAAGGCCGGGGACCCUAGGUGACGGUGUCCUGGACUAG
rnacentral:rRNA from 1 species